CCACGGAGACCAUGCAUCCCUAUAGGGAGGCAGCGCGACUGUAAAUAACGCUGCCGCAUGCAAGUCAGGUAACUGGCAACACGAUCGAAUUGCGGGGACCUCCUAAAGCUUCACAUACCACCUACCCUUGAAAAGGGGUAGUACGGUAAUAAUUGUGCAGAUGCUACAAUGGACGAUCCGCAGCGAAGACCCUACAGCGCAAGCCACGGGUACCGUUCACAGACUAAGUGAUUGUGGGUAGUACGCUACU
rnacentral:misc_RNA from 1 species